AUUGAACGCUGGCGGCAGGCCUAACACAUGCAAGUCGAACGAGUGGCGGACGGGUGAGAAAUGUCUGGGGAACUGCCUGAUGGAGGGGGAUAACUACUGGAAACGGUAGCUAAUACCGCAUACCAUCGGAUGUGCCCCGAUGGGAUUCGCUAUGAGGUGGGGUAAAGGCUCAUCUAGGCGACGAUCCCUAGCUGGUCUGAGAGGAUGACCAGCCACACUGGAACGGAGACACGGUCCAGACUCCUACGGGAGGGAGCAGUGGGGAACAUUGCACAAUGGGCGCAAGCCUUAUGCAGCCAUGCCGCGUGUAUGAAGAAGGCCUUCGGGUUGUAAAGUACUUUCAGCGGGGAGGCGUUACCUGCAGAAGAAGCACCGGCUAACUCCGUGCCAGCAGCCGCGGUAAUUC
rnacentral:rRNA from 1 species